CCGUAAUACAUGUAAAGUUUUUUUCUCACUCCCUGUCGGCCGCCAUGUUGAAUUUUCACAAUGUUUCGAAUCUGCAUUCCGUUGUAACCAGCGGUCGUUGAUAAAAUGACGUCAUGUGACGUCACGCGUGCAAACAUGGCGGGGGAUUUAAAUACUUACAUUUUCUCAAAUUCUGCUGAAAAGUUUGAACAAAUUGCCGUUUGGUGCGGUUCUUAAAGCUGGUUUUCUUCUUAAAGAAACGAAAUACAUAACUGAAGGAAAUUUGAAGGAAAUUUGCCGUUUAAAAUGUAAGUUAUAGGGGCCUUAAAAUGUUAAAAAUGUAAACUAUAGGGGCCUCGUCUUAAAAGUCCAACAGGAUUUCCCGAGGGAUUUCCAGAGGUCUCUAGCCCGUUUACAUAUUCUUAAAUAUUCAACUUGUAAAUAUUAUUUGUGGGUAAAUAAAACUAAUAAAAAAAAAGUAAUGUUUAAACUAACUUGCGAAUAUUAGUGACAGUAUAUAUAAAGGAAUAUCGAAGGAACUAGACUAGUUCCGAAAUAUCACAUACUCGAACCGAGCUGACCGCGUAGCUCAGUUGGCAGAGCAUUGGGCUAGUAUAUCAAGGGUCAUAGGUUCGAUUCCCAUCGUGGCCGGGCGUAUUUUUCAAGCUAUAUAUAUAUAUAUACACUCAGACUUAGGGUAACAUCACAAGCAUCAUAUUCACCUGAGUACAUUACACCAACGCAGAAAAAAUUCAAGAAUCUCAGAAUUUCACUAUUAAUAACUAAACUAAUUAGAAUAGACCGGGUAGGUCUGAACUGUUCUCUCUGGAGAGCUAGUAAGGGCCGCUCUUACAAUAUUGGCCCUUGUGUUUCAAUGUGUUUAAUACCACUGUUAGUUUCGACUCAAAACUGCUCUCCCAUGAAGAGAUCCAAUGAAACCAUUCCUUGGAAACUAGGCAACAUUGUUGCCAUAACAUAGAUUAUGAAACAAUGUCGUGAGAAACUUUUAUAGUGCAUAAAAGUAAGCCAGAAUUCCCAGAAACUUAUAUAAAUGCUUGGUAAAGUCAAACUUGGACUUGUAAGUACAUACUGCCCAGCCUCACAGACAUUGCACUGUAUGUGAACCUCAUAAUACAGGAAAUCAGAAAUCAAAUCAGAAAUGAUGGCAUUAAACACUGCAACCGACACUACACCCCCAUAUAACCAAAUACAUGUAUAUUUAAACUUUGUUUACAGAACCCAGUGAGUAUCACUCGCUGUAUUAUACAAUAAUACAAUUGUGUUUGCUGUCCAGUGCUUUGUUUAAAAUCCCCAGGGAUGAAACAUUUUUAUUACCAUCUUUGGAAUGUUUUAAUGACUACUUAAUCACUGUAGAUUUGAAAUAACUACAAGCACAAUACGGUAUAAUCACCCACAGCGCAACUUAACUAACAAGCAUUUCGUCUAUAAUAGGUAACAUUGAAACACAAUUAUGUGUAACCAUAGCAACGAUUAUAACAUCCCCAGCGGUGUAAUUUCUAACAUUUGGUGUAAUUUAUGAUUCUUAAUUAGAACACUGUCGGUUAUUAAAGACUGGUUUAUAGCUACUAUCAAAGUUUCUGUGAUCACAGUAGGAAUUCUGCGUAGGUAAAUUCUAAGUUUUGAAGGGUUUGUAAGAAAUGUUUGAGGAAACUUACUUAGUGCUUAACAUAUCAAGUCAGUUUGCUCAACCAUUUCUCACAAAUCCUUCAAAACUUAGAAUUUUCCGAUGCAAAAUUCCUCUGUGAUCACAGAAAUUUUGAUAGUGUAAACAAGUCCUUAAUUAGAACACUGUCGGUUAUAUUUAUACUCCAUGUCUGUGGAAUGAAAAGAAUCAGUACUCUAUUGUACUUCGUUUCAAUGGACAGACAGUUAUACAGUUAAUUAAAUUAAGGUCAUCUUCGUGAAGGUCAUAACAGUAUCAGUGAUGGAUCAAUGUCACAAUGAAUCGAGACAUUUAAAAUUUACGAUACAUGGUAUUUAUGGAAGUUAUUUAAGUAAAUAUAGCCGACACGCAUUCGUAAUUUCCAUUUUAAACUCUUGUGCCUGUACUGUGUCUUAACAAGGGAUUAAUGAAAGCAUUUUAGUCUACUAUCAUUUUUUUGGAAGAAGAUUGAGUGUUAUAUUAGAAGGAGAAUAUACUUUAAUUAUGGAAAAAACAUCCGUAGACAUUUUUAAAACGUAUCUUGUCUUACUAUUUUGUAAUGCCAUUUUAUUUUUAGUUCAUACAAACGUCCAUAGAAAUAAUACCCCCCUCCCCAUAGUACAAUAUUGGGCCAAAUCGUGAUUUUUGGAACACAAACCAACAUUGUAAACGGAAGGGGGAAGUUCAAAAGUUCAUGUCAUUAAUUUCCAUGAUUGUAGCCCAAUUCCACCAAAACCCUACCCUGGAUUCCAGAGCCUUCGACAGUAAAUAAUAAAUUGAAAUGUCGCGAAGGCUCUGGUUCAACGGGGCGAUUCUUUGAUUAAACCGCGCCAAUCACAAAACAGAAUUAGUGAUUUUAGUACAGAUUCUGUACUAAAACCACUAAUUCUGUUUUGUGAUUGGUGCGGUUUAAUCAAAGAAUCGCCCCGUUGAACCAGAGCCUUCGCGACAUUUCAAUUUAUUAUUUACUGUCGAAGGCUCUGGAAUCCAGGGUACCAAAACCCCCAACCCCCUGUAAAAAUUUUGAAAUCUGGAGUCUCCAUGAAAUUGAAUUUUCUGCGUUCUGGGGAAGAUUUGACGUUAGUUCAGCUGUGUAAGUAGUAUAAAAAGAUUAAAUAUUUAAUUCAGGGAUGGAUUUACUGGGGGGGGGGGGUACGCACCCCCCUAGCCCUGGCCAGAGAGGGUGCAGGGGGGGUGCUAUUUUUCAUGAUAAAGCAAAAAAUUAUUAGAGACAAAAUGACAUUCAGUAUUUUGAGUAAUAACAUGAUGAUAAGCGAACUGUGAACAACAAUUACAAUUCAAACACUGAAGUCAAGCAAGACUUUGCAGUAGUGAAGCAAGUUGAUGGGCGGGCGGCACACAUGACCGACACAACUCGGCACCAGAGCUGGCAGAGCACCCCCCUACCAGAUCAUGCUGGAUCCAUCCCUGAUUUAAUUGUCUUUUCAAGAUCUAGUCUACCUAAGCAUGUAUAUAUUAUCAUCAUAAAUAGUCGCAACAAAAUGUUUUCUGUUUAUUCAGUUUAAUAAAACAGUAAAAGUAGAUAUUACAUUAUCCUACUUGAGUUACGGUGUCUGAAGGGAGCUUAAGAGGCAUUAAUCGAGUAUUAAUCUUUCUAACUUGAUCUUGUUUUGUUGACUUUCUCUUUGAAGUGCCGUGAAGUGGGCUUAAUUUCACUUUAAGCCUUAUGACAAACACAAUAAACGGAUUAAAUCGGACUGCAUAUAAGUAUACCAACUAAUCGUUUGCUGUUUUGGUCCUCAGUAACUGGUGAAUAAUGAGUUUUAUCGUAUUCUUAGCCGUCUUUGAACACUGCGCAAUAAGCUUGAGGCAAAUCGGUUUGGCAAGAGCAGAGAUCGAGUAAACGAACUACAAAAGAUCAAGUGCAGACGGAUUGCAGAGGCCGCGGAAGCAUUUCGAAAGUGGAGGGGCAUUAGCCAAAAGGGGCUUUUGUAUAUGACCAAAAUCAAACGAUUUUAUGACGUUCACGAGCCGAACGAAAAUUUUUGAAUAUAUGGAGUCUCUAUAACGUCGGAAAUGGCCUUUACAGAGUCUUUACUACUGCGAAAAGGGCAUUUUCUUUCCAGAAAAAGAGGGCGUUUACUCAAGAAAUACUUUUUUCGUUCCCUAAAUGGGGCACUUAAGCCCAGAAAAAAGGGCACUUUUUUCACGUUUAAAAAAGUGUGGGGGGGCACAUACCCCCAUUGCCCCCGCGACCUCUGGACGAUUGAAUCAGUCAACGUGAGCUGUAAUGUAGGUUUUCCUCCAUAGGAAAGUGUAGAGAUAAUUGUCUCUUAGAUAAACGAUGUUUUCUUCAUUAAAAAAUAACUAUAUUAUAUAUAUUAUAGCUAGCUACAUUCACCUGCCAAUUAUUGGAAAAGUACAAUGCCAUAUUGCCAUAUUCCAAUGGGCAAUGGCAAUGAUUACACUAAAUUCAUACAGCGAGUGUAUAUUAAGACUUAUAAAGUUCAAUGCACAAGCAUGGACGUUAUUGACGGAAUUUUUAGUGACGACUUUGAAAGGAAUAAAGAAUCUUCUGACUAAAUGGGCUGUCAUUAAUUAUCUCUUGCAUUCAGUACAUACUAUAAACUGUGUCAGAGGCUAAUUUAGGCUAAACGCCUAAAGCUAUAGUAAGCCUUAAACUUCCCAAAUGUUUUUUGUUUGUUUCUCGGUUUAUUAAUCCAUUGAUAAUUAAAGAUCACGUUUAAGGUAUCUGAAGAUUAAGACUGCUUUUCUAUAACUUAAGCUUUUUCAUUCGUGCGUGUAAAUCUCGUUGUUUUAAGCAGAUGACAAACACAACAUAAAACGACUAAAUCGAUUAACCUAAUGAAUGGACAAUAUAGUUUUAAAUCGAGGCGGACAAUGUAAUCCAUUUAAAAUAAGUAGUUUUUAUUGUCAGCCGGUAAAUUCUGGAAGUGUUUAUAGGAAAGCUUGAGGACAAACCUAUAUGCUGACCAUUUUUUUCUUAACGAAUCUUGCGGCGAUCCGUAAGUUCAAGCUGCUAAAUGUACUUUUCAGUUCACAUGAUUCAAUCGAAGCUGGUAGAUUUACUCAUCAUCUGAUUGAAUCAGGAGACGGAACACAACUCACAAGAUCGAGCGAUUUUGCAUCAGUCUCACUGAUAGGAGUUUCAAACUGUCAAACAACAUGACAUGAUGAGAUGAGGACCGUAGACUGAUCGAGGCAAUCCUGCAAUAGGACUUUCCCCUUAUGAGUGAAAUUUUGAUCUAGAUAUGCCUGGACAAAAAUUUCGUCACAGCUUGAAAGAGCAUCGCAAUAUUAGUAAUAUUCCGAAGUUUCGUUGAUGAAUGUUGUAAAAUGUGGAUAAUAUAGCCUUGCGAGGUUUGCCGUUUUUCAGCCAUUUUGUAUUACAAAUGGGAAAUUGAUAAUCAGUUUGAUCAUCUGAUUAUCAAUUUCCCGUUUGUAAUGCAAAGUGACCGAAAAACGGCAACUUCGCAUUUUACAACAUUUCGCAACGAAACUUCGGAAUAUUACUAAUUUUGUGAUGCUCUUUCAAGCUGUGAUGAAAUUUUUGUCCAGACUUGUCUAGAUCAAAAUUUCACUCAAAAGGGGAAAGAUCUAUUUGUGUUCCUCCCAUUUUUGCCAGUGAUGAAGAUGGGCAUCCGGAUAGCAUUGAACUGAGGCUAGGACACUGAGGACAGAGAGACCUGGCUAUAGUAGCUUUUCUCAUCGUCUUUAGCGAGGCGGACAUCGUCUAGACGAUUUUGGAUGAAAAUAGUUUAAACAAUGCCAAACUCGAGCCAACAUUUCCUCACAUCAGCCAAAAUUGCCCAACACUUAGUGUUAAAAUGAGGCCAACAAUGCUGAAUUCAACAAUGCUGGGAAAAAUAAAUAUGUUGUCCUCGUUUGAAUGGGCCUUUAUACAACAUCAGACUACUAUACUGUAGAACGACCAAAUCACAUCCCCUUACCCGGCAGUAUCCCAAAUGGCAAUCAUUGAUCGGGAUCUUUGCGAUCACACAUGAUCUAUUUUUCUAGGCCUACUUAUUAAUAAUAGCCCACUAAAUCGUGUUGAAUCAUUUAAGUAUCUUGGUAUAACCUUAAAUCAGACAUUAUCGUGGUCAGAUCAUAUUGAAGCACUCUUUACCAAAGUUAAUCAACGUCUUGGUAUCAUACGAAGAGUUAAGCACCUCCUAACAGUUGAAUCUCGUCGUACUCUAGUAAACAGCCUUGUCAUGCCGAUCUUUGACUACGCUGAUUUUGUGUGGGGUGAUAAAAACAACUCUGUCCUGAUGAACAACCUUCAAGUUCUGCACAACAAAGCCGCUAAAAUCAUUCUUGACGCUCAUCCACUCUCGUCAGCCUCAGAAUCCCUACGAUCGUUAAAUUGGCAGCCGUUAACAACACGUAGACACUUUCAUCGUUGUCUAAUCAUGCACAAGUCUUUAAACAAUGACGUCGAUUUUAAAUUUAAUUUCAAGUUCUCCUCUGACAUCCACGGCUACAACACUCGAAACAAACUCAGAACAUACAUUUGGAACGCGUGAAGAAGAACUGGGGGAAGCAGGCACUCGAUUAACUACCAUGCUGCCAACGACUGGAAUAGUCUGCCUGUGGAACUCCAGAAUAUACGUCAAAUUAAAACUUUUAAAACUAAACUAAAGAAACAUUUAGCUAUAUAGCCAUAGGACACCCCACCGAACCGAUAGGAUGCGCAAGUACUUUAUACAAUUUAACCUUUCAUAUAUUCACUUUUGUUAGUUUUAUAUUUUUAUUCUUUUAUUUAUUUUUUUAUCAGGGCCCCACUGAAAAUCACUUUCGUGAGUGGACCCCCUGACUAAAUUUUGUAAUUAUUAUUAUUAUUAUUAUCUCAUAUUUACAGUGGUGGCGGAACUAUAGUUGUAUUUGAAGGGACUAGUUUUCAGCUAAGUUGGGGACCGUAGUUUUCAGCUUAAGUGCAAACACGAUAUGCAAAACAUGAUCCAACUGUCACAACAGGCGUAGGAAGAUAUUUAAAGAUUUGAAAAAUUGAGGCUCGAAAAUGCCAUUUUGUUGCACUUUCUGGCACCGAAUUGAAGAAUUUGGACAACAAUUGGUGGGGUUAAAAUCGCCGGCAAAUUAGCAUAGUUGAACUAUCUGGCGAUGAGAAAAGUUCACGCUUUCAACCAAGAAUUUUUUAAGAAUACCAAUUUUGACCAACAGGUCGACAAAAUGUUGAAAUGCUUCCAAAAAUAGCAUUGUUAUCAUUUUGCUGACUAGAGAUAACAAUUUCUUUUACUUUAUUUUAAGUACAUUUUUUGUGGGGGGCCACUUUUUGUCUACCCCCUGUAGUUCGAGCCCCAAUCGAAACAACGAAUUUUUGGUUGUUCCAAUUCGUAUCCCAAGCAACAAGCGCAGAAGCCUUGAAUACGAGGUUGAUGUUUUUCCCAUCAUUUACCUACUCACUGGUUGGGUAUGUGUGUAGAUGACACAUGUCAUAGACAAAAGUCACAAAACUCAACUGAAGAUAAUAUAUUGGCUAAGUCGGUGUAUUAAUCGAGGCAAACGCAUCCUCUGCCAAAACACGUGCCAACAAUCGCCAAACAUGUGAUACUUGGUUAUGAUGGUUAUAAGAGGGAUUAACUCAUAAUCUUAUUUUGCCCAACACGAAACUAUAAAACUAAAAUGGCAUCUGUUUUAAAUAUUUGUAUUCGAUUUCUUGCAUUUGAUUAUAAUUUUGGCAUCUAGGAAUAGAGCCAAAAUUAUCCUGUUAUAGCCGGUGAACUGAUGACUAGCUUCCCCUGUGAGAACAUAUGCCAAAAUCGCACUCCCUGGCUAGUUUAUGAGAGGGAUUAUCCAUAAUCCUAUUUUGAUUUGGUAAUAGUCGUUUAUAGGUUUGCAAACCACUACCGUAUUUUUAAUGCCGAACCGCUAGUUUUGGCACAGUGAUUAGCAUACCUGCCUUUUAUCUCUGCGAGUUACCGGAUUCUGGCAAGAUGCAGUAUCAUGAUGUUAUGACUAUACACAAUUACACUGCGGAUUUUAUCUGGGGGGUUAAGGGUCUGGUCAUAUGAGUUGGGAAAUUCACCUGAGUGCAUGGGAUAUCAUGUUGUUUAAUUAUUUGACGCAUAUAAAAUUCAAGUUGUGUUCAUAUGGGAAAUGCGGUCGGUGGGAUUCCAAUCAAGUAGGAUAAAAUUUUUCAUAUGCAUGGGAAGGACUUUUUUCCCGAUUUUGAGCUGCAAUAUAGUAUUGAACGACAUAGUUGCAAACAAACAGACAAACAAUAUUGGUAGUCCUAGACAAACACUAUAACUCAUAAUACAAUCUCAAGGUGUAGUUUGUUUAAUAUACCUUUUCCCUUAUGAGUGAAAUUUUGAUCUAGACAAGCCUGGACAAAAAUUUCAUCACAGCUUGAAAGAACAUCACAAAAUUAGUAAUAUUAAUUCCGAAGUUUCGUUGCGAAAUGUUGUAAAAUGCGGAUAUAUAGCCUUGCGAAUUUUGCCGUUUUUCAGUCAUUUUGUAAUACAAAUGGGAAAUUGAUAAUCAGAUGAUCAAACUGAUUAUCAAUUUCCCGUUUGUAAUACAAAAUGACUGAAAAACGGCCAACUUCGUAAGGCUAUAUUAUCCGCAUUUUAAAACAUUUCGCAACGAAACUUCGGAAUAUUACUAAUUUUGUGAUGCUCUUUCAAGCUGUGAUGAAAUUUUUGUUCAGACUUGUCUAGAUCAAAAUUUCACUCAAAAGGGGAAAGGUUUAUUGCAACAAAAAUAUUUCGAACGUGCCGUGUACUGGCCCAUGUUUACAUAAAAUGUCGUCCCAUCGAGGCUGGAUAUUAGGAGGUUCACUACGCUACCUCUCUCUGGCUUAAUACGCAUUUGAUUGGUUAAUCGUGUAGACUAUAUGCAUCUGAUUGGUUAUUGAUAACUGUAGUCAAAAUUUGAACUUCUUUAUUAGAUGGGAUAAAACCAUCAAAUAUGAACACAGGAAUAAUUCAUCCCACUCAGGUGAGCUUUUGAUAGAGCUAUCCAGCGUAAAUGUUUCAUCGUUACUAGAUUACAUUGAUAUCGAAGGAACUAGACUCAGUUCUGAAAUAUCACAUACUCGAACCGUCCUGACCGCGUAGCUCAGUUGGCGGAGCAUUGCCAUUGGGCUAGUAUUCCAAAGGUCGUAGGUGGCCAGGCAUAUUUUUCAAGCUUGCCCGGUGUGGAUAUAUACCACUGAUCAGAUCAGUGAUGUAUACCACAGUAUAUACUCAGAGUAACAUCACAAGCAUCAAACUAGUGAUCAAAGUCAGUUUAGUUUAGGUUUCCUCCUGUAGUAUUAAGGCUGGGUUAUACUAUCAAAGUUCAGUUCUGUGAUCACAGACACAGUAGGAAUUUUGCAUAGAUAAAUUCUAAGUUUUAAAGGAUUUGUAAGAACUCGAGGGACCUUACUCAGUGUUUAAUUAAACACUUGGUCAGUUUCCUCAAACAUUUCUUACAAAUCCUUGAAAACUUAGAAUUUACCUUUGCAAAAUUCCUACUGUGAUCACAGAAGCUUUGAUUGUCUAAACCAGCGGCUUACAAUAGGAACUCAUUUUUUUCAAAUCUCAAUUUUGCACACAAACACUCAUUAAAGCCAAGCGUUGCUGAUAAUUAUUCUAUAUAGACAGGGACUGGGUACGAGUCGGCACUUAAAUAGAACUAGUUCGCCUACAUCAUAGAUCGUAUCUCGAUUCUUUUCCAUAUUCAGUAUGAAUAAAGGUAGUUUAGUUUAGUUUAGUUUAAUACUUAUUCAAAUAUCUCAUUGUCUUUCGUGCACCGGAACAGUCUCAAGCACGGAAGCCGUUUACGGAAGUGCGUUUACAAUACAACGAAUAACGGAUCUUUCUAUACCCAAGCUAUAUAUAGCCAUGACAGAGUCAUCCUGCAUAAUAAAUUACCCGCAGGAAAUACGCAGUAUAUUGGUCCGUGUAUCUGUGUGUGAGAUAAUCUAUAAUCAUAUGACACAUGGCACGUGUCGCUAUGAACACUUCUCAUGACUAAUAUCACGAAAUACAAUUAUAAACUGCACGGAAUUUGGACUGGUGGAAAAGACGGAGUGCGUUAUCGGAGUGCGAAAUACGGAGUACGGAGUCGUGGAAAACGAAUCUUUAGGCAAAAUAACCAAUUUUUUGACAGACUCCGUACUCCGUCUUUUCCUCCAUGCCACGGAAUUUGGCAUGCACGUAGUUUCCCAGAUUGUUAGGUGAUCUGAGUUUGAAAGCUGUGUAUUAAUAGGGAUUCAACUAUCUGGAGGAAUACAAGGAGAACUUAUCAAUCUGAGGUUCUGCUUGUAUUGGCACUUAUUAAACUGGAGUUACACGAGCAACAAAAUUGCUGCAACUUGCAACAAAAUCUGAUUUCAGCGCAUGUUAAGUAGAAAUGUCGACACAUGUUGCCUUGUGAUUUGUAAUUUAUGUGUGAACAUUUUCAAUUAACAUGCGUUGAGAUCAGAUAUUGUUGCAAGUUGCAGCAAUUUUGUUGCUCGUGUAACUUCACCUUUACCUACACUGGCAUAGACACUGGCAUAGACCAAGAUUUUGUUGGCAUCUCACUCGAGUGAGACAAAGAUUAAGCUUCGAUUAAGCCAUCAGAAAUAGAAAGAUAUUCAAAAUUGUCGCGUUCCCAAAUUUGGACGCCCAAAUUCCAGACCAUAUCCAUGCAAAAUUUCUAAAUUAGUUCAGUUUAGAUUUUGUUCUCCUAGUAUAACACUUGGUGAAUGAAGAGGGUGUAGUGAAGUCUGUUUAUAAAUAGUUGCACGUGCUCUGGUAUAUAGAGCCAUCCAUGAUCAUGUAUGUGCAGUAUAUAUAUAACUAAGUUAGGUCCGUUUAGCAUUUCCGCUAUAGUUGAGGGAAACAACUCAUCCAAACAAAUUUCUCGUGGGAACCAACGAUUAAAUUCUCAAUUAACCUUCAUGCAUUAAACGUGGGGGCUUAAUUUUGUUGGCAGUAUCUAUCUAAAAUAAGUUGCUGUGGUUUGUGUGUUAACUACAUGAAUAAUAGUUGAAGGGUUUUAUAGAUGGAAAUUAUCAAGUGUAAAUUUCAGUACAUUUAUUAGACCUAAACAGGAAGAGUCAUACCUUGACAUGGCAGCUCAGAGUACCCUAGUAUAUAUAUAUACAUGAACUUGUGGUUAGAGCUCGAUAACUGGACUCUGUAGCUCAGUUGGUCAGAGCGCUGCAUUGGAAUCGCAACGUCGCUGGUUCGAGUCCUGCCAGAGAACGUAUAGUUGCAUUUUUUGCAGCUGUUCCUAUCAUUUCCAUCUACAAAAUCCUUCAAGCCAUUAUAAUUUCAACUCAUUAACAUGCGAGAAGAGGGCUUCCAGUUUGACUCUUCCAAAAACUGCAGUGUUUUUUCCUCCGCAUCGGCACUCCUGUUCCUGCCAUGAGGAAGAUCAGUUUGGGAGCGAUCCAUGCAUGUGGUACAACUAUCUCGCAAAUAUGACCCUAUCAGAUUGAGAACCUACGACUAAAGCCUCCAACUUGCCAUUUAGACAGCCAUUUUUAUCAGAACCAAUUCAUAGCCUUCUCGCAACGGCUCAAUUUGUAGUUUCACUCAGUUAAAUUCACUGUUAAAUUCUGGCACUGAACAUGUGUUAUAAACACUGACUCAGUUCCCUGAAACAUUAGUACCUAUGCAAAAUUCCUACUGUGAUCACAGAAACUUUGAUAGUGUAAACCAUCCUUUAUAACACUCAGUAAGUUUCCUCAAACAUUUCUUACAAAUCCUUCAAAACUUAGAAUUUACCUUUGCAAAAUUCCUACUGUGAUCACAGAAACUUUGAUAGUGUAAACCAUCCUUUAUAACACUCAGUAAGUUUCCUCAAACAUUUCUUACAAAUCCUUCAAAACUUAGAAUUUACCUUUGCAAAAUUCCUACUGUGAUGACAGAAACUUUGAUAGUGCAUUAUUAUAUAAACAAGCUGGAAAACUAAAUGUUCUUGUACCGGAUUUUUAGAGUGCAGACAUUAUUUUAUUAGAGCUCGAGUCACGAAAUACAACUUAAUCUUCUGAUCAAGUAAGUAUAAGAGCCUACUGAUUCAACCUGACCUGCAUGGAAAAUAGUAGGUUCUUAUAUUAUACGCGGGAUUUUACUGUAGUGAAGACUGUUUAUACAUAUAUUGGUAGAGCUAUUCACGGUCUUAGCCAGCUUGUCGUCCAACUGUCUAUUUAUGAAUGGCCAUCUUAGAAUUUUUGGAUGGCCACUUGAAAACACGGUAUUUUGGACGACAUUUUAACUUCUUGUCAGUGUCAUCUAUACCAUUUUCUAAGAACGUUUUUAACUCCAUUAUUCAUCGACAGUCUGUAUUCAUUUAGAAGCGGAAUGUGAUCUAUCACGCAAGUUCGUAAAUUAAUUUUAUCCCGGCCCUUAGAUUAAGCCAUCAAAAAUAGCAAGAUAUUCAAAAUUGUCGCGUUCCCAAAUUUGGACGCCCAAAUUCCAGACCGUAUCCAUGCAGAAUUUCUAAAUUAGUUCAGUUUAGGUUUUGUCCUCCUAGUAACACUUGGCGAAUGAAGGGGAUGUAGUGAAGACUGUUUAUGAAUAGCUGCACGUACUCUGGUAUAUAGAGCUAUCCAUAUGUGCAGUAUAUAACUAAAUUAGGUCCGUUUAGCAUUUCCCCUAUAGCUAAGGGAAAAACAACUCAUCCAAACAAUUUCUCGUGGGAACCAACGAUUAAAUUCUCAAUUAACCUUCAUUCAACGUGGGGGCUUGGCUCUCUUGGCUGUAUCUAUUUGACACUAGAAGUUACUAUCGCAAGGGUGGUGCUGCCUCAGCCCGUGGGAUUCAAAUGCAGCAUGUGCAAUUUGCUGAAUAAGGGACUGAAUAUGAUCCCGCUUUGCCAAGACGAGUCGCGAGGGCUGGCGUGAGGCGGGGUUAUUUUGAUGUAUUGAAAUAAGUCACGGUGUCGAUUCAGCAAAAAAAAAACAUUAAAAAACCGGCUACAUUAUUUUCUAGUGAUAGAUUAAAGUUAGCUAUAAACGAAAGGUUAUCCAAGCAGCAAUAAUAAUCUUCUUGAACUACGAGAUCUUCUCGACAACAUUUGAGUUCUGUUAACCGGCAUUUGAACUUUUGCGCUUAGCCUAGUCAGUGACUUAUUUUAAUACAUCAAAUUAUCAAAAUCAUCCCGCCUUCCAUCAUGUAAACAGCCCCUAAGACGUCUGUUCAGGAGGUAGGAAAAGUGCAAUGUGAAUAUCAAACACCGAAAUAAGCUGCUGCAGUGGUUUGUGUGUGAACUACAUGAAAAAAAUACAAAUUUGGCUAUCGUUGUUUACAUCGUCAUCGCGUUGCUGCCCAAUUUAGAACUUUAGAUAACUCACACGCCUACUUACGAUCCGUUCUAGUUUACUCCGAAGUGUAGAAUAGAACAAACGUAACUAGGCAUUAGAAUUAUGUAUAAGAGUUAUAUUAACUCAUGACUCAUGUACUAGAUAAUUCUGAAGCUUAGUUAUACCUCUGUUCUAUCCUAUGCCUCGGUAAACUAGAAGAAUAGUAACUAGGCAUUUGAGUUAUCUGAAGAUUAAAGUUGUGAAUUGGGUAUAGACCGAACAUUAGGCAAAUUUGAUGUUUGUGAUGUUACUCUCUGAGUGUAUACCCUGGCCACGGUGGGAAUCGAAGCUACGACCUUUGGAAUACUAGCCCAAUGCUCCUCUGCCAACUGAGUACAUAACACCAACACAGAAAAUCAUUACUGAGGCAAAUUUGUCUACAUAACUGAACUACCUGCAGGCAAAAGUUUUAAUAUUUUUAGGUAGUUCAGACAAAAAACUACUGCAAUUUUGAUUCACAAGAAAUUCAAACAUUUUUCUGUUCUUUUCUCAUAGAACAAGUCAACUGGGGAACAUAACAUCGACGUUAAAUUGCAGUGGCUGACAAUUUCGGAAAUUCUCAAGGAAAUGAAAUCCAUGCACGCAAAGUAAAUCAUAUAUGAAGGUACAGAACUUUCUGAAUUCUGUAUAUUUUGAUUCUGAGGCAAAAUUAAUAAUGUACGAAAUUUUUCUGGAAUCUUAAAAGAUAAGGCCCUUUCAAUGAUGUCAAUCAAGACAAUGGAACAUUCCGAUCACUGGAUCGUCUGAAGGGAAUGAAGCAAGUCUGUUUGAUCAUAAAUCUUGUAACAAGGUGAUAACAACUUGUUCCACUGACUUGUCGCAACAACUGGGAACAAGCAUCGUGAACACAUCCUGAUAUCGAGUUGACAACAACCCCUCCACAACUAUAAGCAACGUCUUACGAGUUUUGUCUAUCAUGAAAUUCGUUUGAAUCGAACCAUCUAAAUUUAAAGUAGAAGGCCGAUUUUAGCAGAAUAAAAUACAUCCACUUUAUUGGCCCAAUCACGCACGAUCUUUUUAGUCUAGACAGCUUUUCCUAUUCCGGGGCGUUCAACCGCCAGAAUCUUGUGAGGAAAAUUUUCGUUUGUAUCUUUGUUUGGAUAAAAAAUUAUUUGUAGAUCUGCAACAACUUGCACAUUUUUACAUGUGUAGAUCUGGGCGUUCGAGUUGUUUUACACGCGUGAUCCAUGCAGGCAUCACGUGAUUCAUGUCCUAUUCUUCACUGCAUUUUGUCACGGCACGUAUUAUUUCUCAAUUGCACGCGUGCAUACCGCGUAUAGCAAAUUUUCUCUGGCAAAUUUUUGUGGUUCAAACAAUACAUUGCUGGAAAAACCGCGUGCAAGUGCCGUGCUCAAGCCUCGAAUAUUCUUUGUUGACUGACCAAUACUGCAAUAGACAGAAGAACAAAAAUUGUACUUUGCCAAUUUUUUCUAUAUGACUAGCAAACCAGCUUUGGACACAUGUAUACUUGUCGCAGUAAAAAUUGACAAAGUUGCCUAUAGUACAAAGGAGCAAAUAAAACUUGUCCUUUGAAAACUUAGAGAAGUUGCUUGUCUGCAACCGGCUUACUUCGUCAGCCGCGUGUAUGAAACGGAUGUCGCAACAAUGUUACAAAGUAGCGAAACGCAAUAUCAUAAUAUCAAACAGGAGACGACGCAUAUAAACGUAUAUAGAGACUGUAAUUAGCUAGAAUCUUGGACACAGACUACCUUUCCCUUCAGACAGAAAAUCGCAUACCCCUUAUGAUAAAUUCCACGUAAAAUAUGAUAAGUAUUUGGCAUGGUUUGCCAUCAGUUCAAUAAAUAGCUGGACGUGUAUAUAUUGUCAUACUUGGCUACUUAAUUAAUUUUCCUUUGCUCACUGUAUAAAUAUCAUAUUGUACCGCCCGCAGUGAUUAACAAUAUAUCGUACUUGCAAUGCAGC